rnacentral:rRNA from 1 species
GAUGCAUUAGCUAGUUGGUAAGGUAACCGGCGUUACCAAGGCGAUGAUGCAUAGCCGAGUUGAGAGACUGAUCGGCCACAUUGGGACUGAGACACGGCCCAAACUCCUACGGAGGCAGCAGUAGGAAUCGUUCCACAAUGGACGCAAGUCUGAUGGAGCAACGCCGCGUGAGUGAAGAAGGUUUUCGGAUCGUAAAGCUCUGUUGUUGGUGAAGAAGGAUAGAGGUAGUAACUGGCCUUUAUUUGACGGUAAUCAACCAGAAAGUCACGGCUAACUACGUGCCAGCAGCCGCGGUAAAU